GGACUCGGACUGUGGCAGGAUCCGAUGCCAUCCUCGGUAACGGCGCCUUGUCCCUGCCAAAAGCAUGCAGGAGGAAGGGAAGCCCAGCAGCGCCCUGCUGAGCCCUGGGUGCAGCACCUCUUUCUGUUUGGAAAUCAAGGAUGAGGCUUUUGGAUGAGAGUAUCCCUCCCACUAACCACCUAUGAGUCUCUAAGGAAGGAGGUGAAAAUUCCUUUGAUCAGUCUUGUUUGUCUGCUCAUCUGCACAAUGGAUGCAAUGUGUCUUCCACCCAAUGAUCCUGUACUAAAGAAAGUGCUUGUUUCGAGCCAGGGGCUGGUAACUUUGACUGCAUGCAGGAUUUGAAGGUGUGAUCCAUUUGCUGGAGGUCCUGUAACAUGUGCAUGGUUCCCUGAUCUGGAAUGAAUUGGAUAGUGGAUCCAAAGCAGGGCUGGCUGGAGAAGAAGAGUGCUGUUGACCAAGGAGCUUUUAUCUUUCAGAAAUAAAUCAUUAAAAAUGUCAA